CGUGGCUCGGUGGGUUGAAGAAGCCCGAGAGCAGGUUGUUCUGAUGUCCGGAGUCUGGUCGCAAGGAUGGGCCGGGUGGAGCGGAGUCGAGUCUCCCCGAGGCCGCUCGCCUCACUGCCCUGGGCUCCCGGCACGGAUCCUCGGGCUGGAACUCCCUUAUCUCGGGUGCCAGGGAUGCUCGGGUGGGGCUGGGGCCGCUCUGUUUACAUGUUUGAAGGAAUUAAACCAUCGGCUAAAUCUCCCACUUCACCGGCUCCUAGUUCUGGGGUCAUCUGCGUGCUUGACAUCCUCACCUUCUGUGCCUGUUGCUGAGAAUCGGGCUGUAAACCAGUGCUGCCCCUCGAGAACAUUAACAGUUACCUAUAAGUCGGUCUGUAUCACAAAUUACAUUCUCUAACAAACAGUUCCAGCUCUAGUAACUGCCAGAAUCUGAACCAGACUGCCCACGACCAUGGUAUUUGAUUCAAAGAUGGGUUUUGGACCACAUAUUGGCUCCAUUGCUUAGACUACAUAUUUCCAUCCCUGCCUCAUCUCAUCCAGUGUUGACGGCCUUGCCCAUGUCUCCGAUGUGUUUAGGUCAGGAUAUUGUGCGAAUUAGAGGAGAUCCUGCAAGAAGAACUGUGAACUUGCUGCUUUGUUCCUGCUCAGUAGCUGAGAUUGUGUUGGAGUAGACCAGGCAGGUGGCUGUGAUGCAUUUUGUGGAUGCUUGUGGUGAUGCUGAAUGUGUUAAUGAUCGGUGGCAGGCCUUUGCAGGAUGAGCAGAUUGCCCACUGGCCAGGAAAAUGCUGGAGUCAAUUAUUUCGGUCCCAGUGCCUCCCUCAGUACUGUGCAAUCCAUCACUGCGUCCCAAGUUACAGCUAAGUUAGAUCCAUACAAAUCCAAUGGUAAAAGGAUCAUUUCUGAUGUCAGGAGGACUUUCUGUUUAUUUGUUACUUUUGACCUUUUAUUUGUUGGUCUGCUGUGGAUAAUUGAAUUGAAUGUAGAUGGUGGCAUAAUUCCUAGAUUAAAAAAUGAAGUUGUUCGUUAUGAUUUCCACAAAUCUUACUUCGAUAUAUUUUUACUGGCAGUGUUCCGAUUCCUUAUGCUGGUCUUUGCAUACGCCCUGUGCAGGUUACACCACUGGUGGGUAAUUGCGAUUACAACAGCUGUUACCAGUGCCUUUCUAAUUGCAAAGGUCAUCAUUUCCAAGCUAUUGGUAGAAGGAACAGCCUUUGCCUAUUUGCUGCCAAUAAUCUCCUUCAUACUUGCCUGGAUCGAGACCUGGUUCCUGGAUUUUAAAGUUUUGCCACAAGAGGCCAAGGAUGAAAACAGAAUCUUUACUAUAUCUGAUGCAUCAGAACAAGCACCUCUCAUCCUACCUGGCCCUCUCUCAGAUGGCCAGUUUUAUUCUCCUCCUGAAUCUGUUGUGGAUUCUGAAGAAGAAGAUGAUGCUGAGUAUCCAAUGCAUUAGCAGGUGUGGAAAAUGGUGCAUCAGUUGACUCCUGUUUGCUUUGUUCAACUUCUGGCCCAUGGCUGAAGUUCAGUUUGAAAGAAGCAAUGGAAAUCUUUGGAAUCGUCGAGCUUGGAGAUUCGUCUGACACUUGAAUUAUUCUUGGGCAAGACUGUUAUCGCCAAUAACAAGACGUCUGUGAUUCACUGUGCUCAAGAACCCUUCAGCUGUUGGGAGUUCAUUGCUAUACUGCCUUCUGCCAUCUCUGAAAUGCCUUCUUUAUUCUGCCUUUACUAAACUAAUGCUAUAAUCACACAAUCCUGCACAAGAUUAUUUUUCUGAAUAUCUCAUUUUGGUUUGGAAUCAAUCAUUUCAUAGUUAAUAAUUCUACUUAAAAUCAAGGAUUAUUGAAAGGUGUGAUCAGAUUACCUGUCGACUGUGAUUGGGCCUGUUCACUUUAAGCAUUAUGUUGCACUAUGAUUCUUGAUGAUUUUUAUUUGGUCUUUCAUUAUUUUAAAUGAAAUAGGCCAAACGCAGUAAACCAUGCUAAUUAUAAAGUGUUCUGAACUGUUUUCAGAUUUUGCCUUAUUUGUAAAGGUAAGUAUGAAAGGGAGCAUUGCAUGAGUGCACUGCUGCAUGUGUAUGCCAGCCCAUGUUCCUAGAGUGUCACUGCAUAUAAUAACUUCAGGAUUAGGGGAGCAUUUUUUUGUUAAUCAUUUGUAUUUCUUACCAUAGUAACAGAUUAUCUACAGAAGCUUGUAACAAGACAGCUGACUGCACUCUCUGCUGAGCACUCAGUGACGCAGCUCUUUCUGUGACUAGGGCAGUACAAAAUUCUCAUCCUUGGUCUUGAGUAUUUCUUGCUUUGUAAUAGUUGAAACAAUGAAAGUUUGAAAUAAAAAUCCCCAGUUAGCAUUUUAUUUGCUUGCAGUCAAAUAGGGCUCUGUAAUAAAGAACAUUGUACCUUGGCAAAGCUCCAGCGGUUCCUAGCUCCUCACUUGCUCCUGCACUUGUGUAAUAUAUUCAGAUUUUGCAGUGAUAUUGUACCAAGGUUAGCUGACCUCUGACCGUAGGAAGACAACUGCCUUUUUAACCUCCCUUGCCCCAGGAAAGCAGCAUGCCUUCUGACCCUGUCCCAAAGAAGCUUGCUUGUCCUUUGAACUGUAUAUAGAUGGGCUAACUGAGUUCUCUUCUUGCUCUCCUAUACAAUCUGCCUCCAGCAUUGAGGUCUUCAGAUUCCUAACCACUACUCACUAAGAGUGUCCCCUCUUGCCUGAGGAGGAAUCAAAGUCUGUGCUUUACUGGGCCAGCAGAUUCUGGCUUCUCAAGACUCUGAGAUGGCUGAAAGAGUUUGAUUAUAAGCAAGACAUUAUAAUGAUGCAUAUUCUCUUCCCAGGGCUGCAGGAGAGAAUGCAAGUUAAUUAGUAACAUUCCUAUUUAACAGGUAAUUGGGUACUGUUCCUCUGUCCGCAGCUUCCCACAGGACGAGAGUAGUGUUGCAGAGGGAUGGUGCGCAGAGAAUAUUGUGCAUCUAAAGAGUGCUUUUGUUAAAUUACUUUCUCAGUUUUGCACAGACCAUUAAUGUAAUAACUUUAAAUUGAUUUGAAGUGGUGUGAUUCAUAAUUUGACUUUAUUAAUAUGGUUUAAUGUUUUAAGUAAAGCUCUGGUGUAAUUAUAUACACCUGAUCAAACAAGUUUUGUAAAUCAGUAAUUUAAUGUUAAUGGAUUCAGUGAGAUAUUGAAGUGCUGCAGCUUAUGCACUGAUACUAAAUUGCUUAGUGGCCAUUCCCAAAGCUUUGAAUUCACAUCAUGUUUCAUAUGUGGCAUCCACUUUUAAUUACAAUUGAGAAAUGUGUUUUUUAUAUUUAAUUCAAAUUAUUGGAACUGCUAAUUGUUUUAUCUCAAACAACUUCAAGAGCAGGCUCUUUGUUCAAAAUGAUUGAAUAAUUCUCUGUUCAAUUUAUCAGCUGAUGUACUCUUUCUGUCUGCAGCCUUGCACUGUUUUGUAUUCUGAUUAUAUUUUUAAGGUAAAGUUCCAACUCUAUUGAUAUUCCCAGUGUUUCUGUUCCUUUGUAGAGCGAACAGUAGUUCAUGGCCCAGUGCUUUUUUUUAGUCUUUCUAUCCAUUAAUUGAGUUUCUUACCUGCAAGCUGUCUUUCAAAAAGGCAUUUUGCUGUGGGAAUAAGAUUUGAGUAUUGAUAAAAUGAAGUCAAAAUGGUCCUGCUGCUUAUUGAUGCUAGGUCUAAUUCUACACAAAGGAAAUUAGUUUCUUCUGUGCUCAAUAUCAGCAGUUUGACCACUUUACGAUUAGUUAACAAAUUAUUGCUUGAAUAAAAAUGAUCAACAAAUGCAAAGAUGUGCAGAAUCAGUUCUCUGUUGCUGCAUGUAAUAUCUGUAAUUCAAGUCAUGGCUUGUUUUAUGAAUGAAAUAAAUGGAUUACCUUUAUUUAUUAACAUACUGCAGAAAAUAUUUCCCAUUUUAA